rnacentral:rRNA from 1 species
UAGAGUUUGAUCCUGGCUCAGGAUGAACGCUGGCGGCGUGCUUAAUACGUGCAAGUCGAACGGAGAGAUUAGCAAUAGUCUUUUAGUGGCGAACGGGUGAGUAACGCGUGGGUGAUCUGCCCCGAAGAUUGGGAUAACAGUUCGAAAGGGCUGCUAAUACCGGAUGUGGUUCUGGGAGUUAGAGACCUGGAACUAAAAGCGCAAGCUGCUUCGGGAGGGACCUGCGUCCAUCAGCUGGUUGGUGAGGUAAAGGCUCACCAAGGCGACGACGGGUAGGGGGCCUGAGAGGGUGACCCCCCACACUGGCACUGAAACACGGGCCAGACACCUACGGGUGGCAGCAGUAGGGAAUAUUGCACAAUGGGCGCAAGCCUGAUGCAGCAACGCCGCGUGCGCGAUGAAGGCCUUCGGGUCGUAAAGCGCUUUUCGGGGAGAAGAGGAAGGACGGUAUCCCCGGAAUAAGGCUCGGCUAACUGCGUGCCAGCAGCCGCGGUAAAACGUAGGAGCCAAGCGUUAUCCGAAUUCACUGGGUGUAAAGCGCGAGCAGGCGGCUUGGUAAGUUGGGUGUGAAAACUCCUGGCUCAACUGGGAGAGGACGCUCAAGACUGCUGAGCUCGAGAUUGGCAGAGGGAGGUGGAAUUCCCGGUGUAGUGGUGAAAUGCGUAGAUAUCGGGAGGAACACCAGUGGCGAAAGCGGCCUCCUGGGCCAAUACUGACGCUGAGAUGCGAAAGCUAGGGGAGCGAACGGGAUUAGAAACCCCGGUAGUCCUAGCCGUAAACGAUGUCAACUGGGUGUGAGUGGGUUAGAAUCCAUUCGUGCCGAAGCCAACGCGAUAAGUUGACCACCUGGGGACUACGGCCGCAAGGUUAAAACUCAAAGGAAUUGACGGGGGCCCGCACAAGCAGCGGAGCGUGUGGUUUAAUUCGAUGUUACACGAAGAACCUUACCCGGGCUUGACAUGCAAGUGGUAGUGAAGCGAAAGUGGAACGACCCUUCGGGGAGCUUGCACAGGUGCUGCAUGGCUGUCGUCAGCUCGUGUCGUGAGAUGUCCGGUUAAGUCCGGUAACGAGCGCAACCCCUGCCAGAUGUUACAAGUGUCAUCUGGGACUGCUGGUAUCAAGCCGGAGGAAGGUGGGGAUGACGUCAAGUCAGCAUGGCCUUUAUGUCCGGGGCUACACACACGCUACAAUGGCCGGCACAAUGGGUCGCAAAGCCGCGAGGUGGAGCCAAUCCCGAAAGCCGGUCCCAGUUCAGAUUGCAGGCUGCAACCCGCCUGCAUGAAGCCGGAGUUGCUAGUAACCGCGCGUCAGCAUUAGUGCGGUGAAUACGUUCCCGGGCCUUGUACACACCGCCCGUCACGUCAUGGGAGCUGACAACACCUGAAGCCGGUAUCCUAACCGCAAGGAGGGAGCCGUCGAAGGUGGGGUUGGUGACUGGGACGAAGUCGUAACAAGGUAACC